rnacentral:lncRNA from 1 species
AUGCAUGCUUAGGUGACAAAGGGUGUUUGUUUUUAUGGUUUAGCUAGCUUGUAAGCAUGAUUAUGUGUUCUGUUUGAUGUGUUUGUUGGGGUUGUUAGGUAGUUUUGGACCCCUUUGUACAUAUACAUGAGUAUAUGUGUGUUGAGGAGUUGAAAGUUUGCAUGUUUUGAGAGAUUGAAGGGAUGGAGGAGCUUGGUUGCCGUCGGGGCUGAGUUCUGGAUGAACUCAGGUUCGGCAGCCGAAGGGUCAUUCGGCCGCCGAACCUCUUGCAUGGUGGCUUAGGCUGCCACAGCUUACCCCCGCGAGUUUUGCAUGUUCGGCUCUGUUUGGGGGAUUCGGCCGCCGAAGGUGCCGCCGAAGGUUAGAGACUUUCAUCUCUGGAGUGCCUUUUGGCCCCCGAAACUUGCCCCCGAAAGGGUUCGGCCGUCGAAGCUUGAGAUUCGGCCGCCGAAGGUGCUUGAGUUUCGUCUCUGGAGAGGACUUUCGGCCGCCGAACCUGCCGCCGAAAGUGUUCUGUCCAGCUUUCUUUUGCAUGCUUUGCAUGGUUAGUUGAGUGAGUUUAAGGGGAUGUUUGGGGAGUUUAAUUGCGUUAUUCAUACGCUUGUUUGGUCCCUCAUUUGCGUUCAUCUGUAUAGGUACAGACCAGAGGAACCAGAGAGAGCAGCAGUGAGUACUGCUCUAGAGUUUCAGAGCCUGCAGAGUCAGUGCAUGCACAGGUUAAGCCUUGGGUCAGAAAAGAGUUUUUAUUUUCACAGAAAAUGUAUGAUCAUGUAUGGGAUUUACAGGUACACAGAGAAUAUAGCAGGCUUGCUACGGGUUCUGGCGGCCUUAAGCCGACCUGAGCCCUAGCGCCGGUGACGGUCCAUUUUGGGGUCGUUACAGUCAUUGUAGUGUGUAAAGUAUAAUUAAUUUCUUAAUUUUAUUAAAAAGUAUUUAUAUUUUAAUAUAUUUUUUAAAAUUAAAAAUUUAAUUAAUCAGUUUUUAUAUAUCACAAAAUUCAAAUAAUAAUUUUUUUAAUAAAAAUUAAACUAUAGCAUUAUGUUUAUUUAAGAUAGAGAGGAGAAUCAAAUACUAGCCACUAAAGAAUUCUUGUGUCUUGCCAAUUAUGAUGAUAGACAUUGAUGUUCUGAAAUUUAGAAAAAAGAUUUUACAGUGAUUGUAUAAAUUUAGAUAGAGAGUAAGACGUUCCUCUCCUUUUAUUUCUUUUCCUCUUGUCUGCUAGUAAUGUCUAACAAUCUUUCUAUUACAGUGCCACCUAUCUCUGUCACUCAGAUCCAUAUAUAUGGAUAUAUCAGAGCUCCUCUCCACGCCGAACGAUUAUUUAAUUCCCCUCGGCUCGCAUGUAGACAGGACUGCGAAAUGACUGGGUCAACUAUUCUCCCUCACGUCACAUCACCGAGGUGAACUACUUCCCAAUGAACCUGGACUCGCAGUGGACCCGGCCUACCCCGCGUGUUCAGAUUGGAGCUUGAGAUGUUGGGUCGGUCAGCUUAAGAGAGACUUCAUAGAUUUUGGGCCAGCGCUUUUCUCUUGAGUCUGGUCUGGUCCAGGAUACAGAAAAUCCGACGAUCAUCACCUAUUAAAAUAUUAAUCUUAAUGUAAACAUAUUUAUUAUAUCUAUAUAAUACAAUAUAAUUUCAUUUAAUCCAUUUAAAUAAAUGAGUUAUUAACAUGAUAAAAUAUAUUUACUUUACUUAAAUAAAUGAAUUAUUACAAAAAUCAGAUAUAACAUGUCUAUUAUAUUAUUUAAAAUUUAAUUAUGAAUUAAACAAGUCAUAAUGAAUUUAAAUUGAUAAAAAUGAAAUAGAAUAACUUAGUAAUCCAAUUAAAUAAAUAAGCCAUUUUAUUAUAAGACUAAGCUUAGUUUGGCUAUUGGUGCACUGGUCUCAAAUUCUCAUCUUUGUAGAUAUAUUGUAAGCUUGCAAUAUUAAGCUUUCACACAAUAAUGCAUCUUUGUUAUUGAUGACCGCUAGGCCACUGACACCCGGGUUGCAGUCGAGCCCUUACAGGAGAGCCAAGGCUAAAACCCAUCAGAGCCCACUAUGCCAGUUAGCCCAUUAGCACGCAACCUAGCUCACAAUCGAGCAGGUCGAGCUAACCGGGGUCCGAGCUCAUCCAAGAGAGAUUCAGCUUAUUUGACGUGAUGGGGGAAGUAGGGGAACAGACCCAGCUAUGCUGUGACCCUAUCAGCACGAGCGCCGGAAGGAAAUUAAAUGGCCUCUUGACGAUAGUGAAAAGAUAGGUACACUCGUACGUACGACUCUGUUUGAUAGUGACAGGUGUCCCUAUAGCAAGGUGGCGGUUAUGCAUCACUAGAGGACAAGGGAAAAAAAGAAUAAAAGAAGGAAGCGUGAACCAUUCCAGCCAAACUUACUCACUCAUCCCAAAACCCUACCCCUUUCUGCUCAUAUCAUCAGUUAUCCAUCAUGUUUUACAAUUUUUACAUAUGCCUACAAGAAUAUUGAUUACAGGAAAGCGUAUCUUUUGAUACUUGAAAACUACUCAAAAUCAUUGCUUGUGAUUUGAAAAUCUCUCAAUAAUCACAUUAAUGCUUAUGGUGAUGUCAACUAGGCUAGUAAUCCAUAUAAUAGGAAAUCUACAACGGGUUACACUAUUUAUAUGGGCAAUAAUAUUGUAUUUGGAGUAUAAAGAACAAACUAAUGGUUACUAAAUCUACUAUUAAAGCCAAAUUCCAUGCAGUUGAUAUUACCGCAGCUAAGCUCAUAUGAUUGCAGUAAAUUCUCAAUGAGAUAGGCUAUCCUACUCCCACAUAUUUAUCUAUCAACUCUAUCUUUCACUCUUGCACUAAGCAUGUCAAAGUGGACUAUCACUUUAUAUAUAAGAAAGUACAAAAAAAGAAUUACAAGUGAGGUUCAUUCUUUCUUGUGAUUAAACACAAAUUUUCUAACCAAGACGGUCCCAAAAACUUGACAUAAGCUACUUUGUCAAUUGCUUGCAAUCUAUCAUCUACAGUGCCAUCAUAACUGUUUAGCCGAACACUUAUAACUAGCGGGUCAUUGUGCAAAGUUUUUAUCACCCUGUCCAUUGGCCUUAACUUUAUCUCUUGUUUCGUCCAUGGUUAUUGCUCGAUAGACAAUACAUCUUUAAGGGCACGGUUGUUCUUUCCCUUACAAUCACUAGGGCCAUCUGCAAUCACAUGUAUAACCUCAAUGGGUUUACUGUCAACAGUGUUUUCUGUUAUUCUUACAUAAGGCUCAAGUCUCUUAUCCUCUCUAUCCUUUUUGGCAAACUUCUAGAGUGUGCCGUCCCUUAUUAGUCUUUUGAUUUUGUCCUUCAACUGUCGAUAUUUCUCUAUUGUGUGUCCGUGAUCUUUAUGAAAUCGACAUUAUUUUUUCCUGUCUCUCCUAUUGGCUUUAUUAGGGUUGAGCUUAGAAGGCCAUCUGACCUCUUUAUCAUUCUUCCUGAUCCACAUCAAAAUAUGUGUUUGUGAGUUAUUUAAGGGAGUUUUCUUAUCUUAUACUUACUUUGGUCUUCCCUCCCUCGGGACACGGGAUAAUUCUUUGAAUCUACUUUGUAGUCUUGCCUUUGUGGCUUUUGAUUUUUCACUUUGAUUUGUCCUCUCAUCCUCUCUUAGUGCCUUAACUUCAUUAUCCAACCGAAUGUACUUUUGUACUUUGUCCAUUAACUACUGAUAGGUGGCUGCUGGGCUUUUGAUUAAGGAGUCCAUAAACUUUAUGUUGUGAGUCCCUUUCUUCAAUGCCUCGCAUGCUAUCUCGUGAUUUAAUUCUUUAAUAUGUAUUACUUCAACAUUGAAAUAUGAGAUAAAACUCUUUAAAGACUCGCCAUCUCCUUGUCAAAAUUUUCACAAGUCUGGGGAGAGCUUUUUAUGAGAUAUACAAGUAACAAAUUUAGAUUUAAAUAACAUGGAAAGUUGUGUAAAACUAUGAAUAGAACCUGGACUCAGAUGCUAGUACCAUUUCUAGGCCAAACCUACGAGGGUGGAUGGGAAGACUCGGAAAAAUAUAAAAUCGUUAACAUCCUAGAGCUGCACCAUAGUCCAUAAGAUAGCCAGAUGGCUCCUAAGGUCUGCUAUCUCAUCGUACUUGUCCAAACUAGAGAGCUUGAACUUCGUAGGAAAAGUCUCUAUAAGAAUUUCAUCUAAUAGGAGUGAGCCAUUGUCCAAGCCAUAAUCUUCCUCUUGCUCCUUCUGGUACCUUUGAGCACGAAUCAACUUCCAAUCAAUGUUUUUUGGGGUCUCAUAUGAUGAUUCCUCAUCCUCCAGUUUGGCCUUUUCUUUGGAUUGCAUGUGAAUUGCCUUCGUUCAAGUCUUUAGAGUCUCGAAGGAAGUUUCCUCCCUUAUUCUAGGAGCCAUAAAUGAGGCAUCCUCUCAAACUUUAUAUUGCUUGAGAAUUAUCUGCAGCUUUUUUUUUGUAUUGUACCAUCUGCUUAUUGUUCAUAUUAUUGAGAUCUGUCUCAUGACCAUAAGAGGAGUGUUCUGUCCACCGCCAGAGUGUAGGAGAUGAUGGCUCCCCUAUUGGCAGUAGACUUAGCAACAACUUGUGAGUUUUCAAUCAUUUUAAGAGUAAAGUGACAAAAAUGAAAAAGCACUUUGAGUGAAAAGAUAAAUAGAAAGCUAAGCCAGAUUUAUCCCAAAUGAAUAAGAAGAACUCAAUGGGAUAUCAAAAAAUGGAGCCAAAUGAUGAGGCCGAAAGGGAGUUGAAAGUAAUUUUUCACUCUACAAAAGAAAAAAAACGAGGUGGUGAGUGCCUAUGGGCAGCCGCUUCGACGCUUAAGUCAAUAAAUUAUCAAAGAGGGUGAGUGUAAGUAGAUUGCUUGAGCUUAAGAAGAGUGUGUAAAAAUGUGUACCUUGAACUCUGUGUAUACUUUUCUUUUAUACUGUAAGAAGAUAAAGCUAUUUAGUGAAUUUUCUGAAAAUCCGACUAGUGCUGGCUAGUGGAUAAAAGAUCCCACGAUUAUAGACGUAAUAGGAAUUUGCUGUAUACUAUCCUUUAACGGUAACUUAGAUGUUAAUGAAAGGCUCGACCGGUCAUAAGAGGGCGAGUCUUUUAUCAUUCCGAGUACUAAUGAGUUACAAAACUCACCCUUUUUUCCAUAUUAAAUUUCAUGAUUUUGCUAUGAAUUUAAUAUAAACAAUUGCUUUUUACUUGGAUUUUGAUUUUGGACAGGUUUUGAGCUGAAAAUGAGAAAAGAAUCCAAAAGAGGCUAUUUUAGAGCUUUUUCUGAUCGGAAGGUACAGCUUGCUCAAGGCUGUAGCCCAAGCCUGACAAGUAGAUUUCAAGAUUACUGUUUUGUCAGUUGUACAGAGUUUGAAAUUAUUUUAGAUAGAUGCAAAUACAAUCAGAUUAGGAUUAUGAUAAGAGUCAUCAUAUGAGUAGUAAAUUUAUUUUACCUUUUUUUUUUUAAAUAUGAACAAUUAUCUUUUUGUUUGGGAAAAGUUUAUAUAAAGGCUGCCUUAGAAGUAAAUCUAAUGUCUCUUCUCAUCAUCUUCCCUCUUUUUUUCAGUUCCUCUUUGGCCGAAUUCUUCUUCCCUUUCUUCUUUUAUUUUUCUGCAAUUUUAUUAUAACCCUUAGAGGCUAAACUCUUUUAUUCAGUUGUAGGUUAAUCAAAUAGAAGUUUAUUUAAAGUUAUGAGAUUUUAUUCUAAAUUUCUAUUCAUCUUAUUUCUUUCGAUUAAUUUCUAUUUUUGAAUAACACCACCUCCAUUGUUGUCUUCUUAGGAAUUCAAGAGGCCUUUUGAAUCUCCUAAGAAGACAAUAUAUUGCUAAUUAACCCAAGUAAAUAUGUAAUUGUUUAAUUAGAUUAAUACAAGUAGCAAUUAGCAUAUUCGUUUAUCUUAAGAAAUUAAUUGAUUUAGUUUAAAUAAUUCACUUGCUAUUAUUGAUCAAGUUUGAAUUUUUCUCUUCUUAAAACAGUUAGUUAAUUAAAUUUACACACUUAAUGGUGUUAUUAAUUAACUAGAAAUUAAUUUAACCGCUACACAAAUUAAUUUAAUAUUAAAGAAGAAUUGGUAAAAUUCGUUUGUUUGAACAUUAUAACUAAACAAUGCACAAUUGAAUGAACCAUCUUUUUAAUCAAUGAUCAACGACAAACCUACCAACUUUGAUUACCUUCAGCUAAGUUUUAAUUUGAUUAUUUGUUUCAUAAUUUUAAUUGCAUUAUUUUAUUUCUUCUUUAUUUUUUUAAAAUCAAUUUCUCCAAUAGCAAUUUUCUUUCUUCUCUCUUUUUGUUUUAAAUUGUUCUUCUUACUCUAUUUGUCAUUUAAUUUAAACAAAAUUAAGAUAUCUGUGGGAUUGACACUCAUUUACCCUAACUGCAAAAUCUAUUAAAUCAAGAAAAAAAAUCAGUUUUAAUUGACGAAUUCGACACCCGUCAAAUGUUAGUGUCGUUGCCGGAGACCUUUAACAGUUUGUUUUUAUUUUUAUAACCAAGUCUGAAAACAGUAGAAUUCAGUUUGAUCCAAAAAUCAAGAAGACUGUAAAACGAUUGAGUUCUUCUCUUCUUAAAACAGUUAGUUAAUUAAAUCUACACUCUUGAUGGUGUUAUUAAUUAACUAGAAAUUAAUUUAAGCGCUACGCGGAUUAAUUUAAUAUUAAGGAAGAAUUGGUAGAAUUCGCUUGUUUGAACAUUAUAACCAAACAAUGAAUAAUUGAAUGAACCAUCUUUUUAAUCAAUGAUCGACGAAAAACCUACCAACUUUGGUUACCUUUCGGCUGAGUUUUAAUUUGAUUAUUUGUUUCAUCAUUUUAAUUGCAUUAUUUUAUUUCUUCUUUAUUUUUUUAAAAUCAACUUCUCCAAUAACAAUUUUCUUCUUCUCUCCUUUUGUUUUAAAUUAUUCUUCUUACUCUACUUGUCAUUUAAUUUAAACAAAAUUAAGGUCUCUGUGGGAUCGACACUAAUUUACCAUAUCUGCAAAAUCCAUUAAAUUAAGAAAAAAAAGCAGUUUCAAUUGAUGGAUUCGACACCCGUCAAAUUUUAGCAUCGUUUAUGGAGACCUUUAACAGUUUAUUUUUAUUUUUAUGUCCAGGUCUUAAAACAGUAGAAUCCAUUUUGAUUUAGAAAUCGAGAAGACCGUAAAAAGAUUGAGAAAAGCAGCCAAGUUGCAAAAACAGGCCAAUUCAGAAAUCUCUCAACCGAUUGCUUGAACCCCUCUGUGCGAGAACACCAAAGACCCCACGUCUUCAACACCAAAGACCCCACGUCUUCAACACCAACCGAGCCCCCAGUUGAGCCCAAUUGAAGCAACACGAUGGUUGCAGCUGCUGCUGAAGAGCAACCUUUUUGUAUCACAUAUCCAGUGUUGAACACAACCCUGGAAUUGCGAACAUGUAUGAUUCAUAUAUUACCGAAAUUCUAAGGGUUGGAUAAUGAAGGUCCACAUCACCAUCUGAAAGAAUUUUAUGCGGUUUGUUCAAAUAUGAGACCACAGGGGAUAACUAACGAACAAAUCAGUUUAGUAGCUUUUCCUUUUACUUUAUUAUUUGCCCCCAGGAUCAAUCACCACUUAGACGUAGAUUAAAGACUUAUUUCUAGAAAGAUUUUUUUCCAGCAACUAAAGCUUCAUCUAUAAGAAAGGAAAUAAGUGGAAUCAAACAAAGAAAAAAUGAAACACUCCAUGAAUAUUGGGAACGUUACAAGAAAUUAAUUGCAAGCUAUCCAAAAUAUGGAAUCACUCCAAAACAACUCAACCCGCACUUCUAUGAAGGACUGUUACUGUAACGACCCAAAAAUCGGACCGCUACCGGCGCUAAGGUUCAGAUCGAUUUAAGGUCGCCGGAACCCAUAGCAAGCCUACUAUACAUCCUAUUAUAUCUGAUAAAAUCUCAUACAUGAUCACAAGAUAUAAUAAAAAUAUAAACAUUCCAUGAACCAUGACUCGACCUGUGCAUGUAUCAAAAUUGUAAACAUAAAACUCAUACUAGAGCCCUCAUCAAAUGCUCUAGUAUGGUAAGCAUCACAUACCUCAAGCUUGGUUCAAACAUAACUAUUACAUGACUCUAAACGACUCCCCAAGAACCCCCUAAACAUACUAAAACAUGCAUAUAAAGUAGGCAGAAGAAGGCUGGGUAGAGGACUUUCGACAGCAGGUUCGGCAGCCGAAGGUCCUUCACAGAUCCGAAAGUCAGGGACUUUCGGGGCAGGUUUGGCGGCCUAAACUCCCCACAGAUCCAAAAGUCAGAGACUUUCGGGGGCAGGUUAGGCUGCCAAAGGCUGCUUCCAUAAGCAGGUUCGGCGGCCGAAUCUUGCUUCGGCGGCCGAACCCGGGUUCUCCAGCAAGGCAGAACCCGAUUCUGCUCUAUGUACACAACCACCCAACACUCCAAUCCUCACACCCAACUACUCAAAAACAUGCAUACUCACUCAUCAUGCAUAAGGGGCAUAAAAACUAGUCUAAUCCCCAACAAGCAACAACACAAACACAAAAGAGAGCAUUUAUCAUCCAAACUAACACAAACCCUAAAACUUUUAGAUCUAACCUGUAAUACCCGGCUAGAUUCCGGCAUCGGAAUCCCUACCUUCCGGCGGAACCUCCGUUGGAAUCUGGAAUUUUGAUGAUGCCAGAGUCUUAUAGAGGGAUAAAAUGUGUUUCUAAAAUAUUUUCACAUGAUUUUAUGGUUUUAAAUGGAAAAGAAUUGAGUUUUGAAAAGAAAAGACCAAGGAGGCAUUUGCCAGGUUCGGCCGCCGAAAGUCAAGUUUGGCCGCCGAACAUGGGAAGGUUUUGGGAGCGCUUUUGGCCUCCGAAAGCUUUGUUCGAACGAACCAAGGUUCAGCCGCCGAACCUAAAGUUCGGCCGCCGAACCUAAAGUUUGGCCGCCGAACAUGCAUGAGUUUAGGGGGCACGUUAGGCUGCCGAAGGUCUUUGACCAUGCCACCUAUAAAGAGCCCUCAGAUCGGAAAUGGGUGAGUUUUCUCCCCAUUCUCGAACUCAGGUGAAUUUAUGCGCUCCUUUGGUCGUUUUCAUGCUUCCUCUACCCAUCCCUCGAGUUUUCAUGAGUUCUACCCUUGUUUUGAAGUGUUGAAGCUUAAGUAGGAGUUUUGGGAGCUUGGAGAUUGUUGGAGCUUGGAUCCUCCACACCUCCGAGUUAGGGAUCGCACCACCCCUCGAUCUUCAAGAGGUAAGUGUAGAUCCUUGCUUUCCUUGUAUUUUAAUGAAGUUUUAAGUAAGUUUAAUGAUGUUUUGAUGGUUGAGUAUGGAUAGAUAUGCAUGUUUAGGUUUAUGUGGAUUUUAUGCCCAAUGUAUGUUAUGUGAUGUUAUGUUGAAGGUUUAAGCUAGUUUAUGCAUGUGGGAGAGUGUAUGCAUGAUUGGGAAAGAGCAAGUGAGGUUUUGAGUAGUUUUGAUGGUUUUGGCUUAUGUGGGUCAUAAGCUAUUUAUGUAUACUUUUGAUGUUCUUUGUUGGAUUUUAAGCUUGUUUAAGCUCCUUUGUGCAUGGUUAAGGGUUUAUGCAUGUUUUUAAAAGGUUGGGUGCCUGUUUGGGGUGUUUGGAAGGCUUGGGAGGCUUGUAUGCAUAAGAGGCUGAGUUCUAGAUGAACUCAGGUUCGGCCGCCGAAGGUAGUUUUGGCCGCCGAACCUGCCUGUGGAUGCAUGGAUUGGCCGCCUAACCUUGCCCCCGAAAGUUGUGUUUCGGAUCUGGAGCAGACUUUCGGCCGCCGAAGGUGAUGUUCGAUCGCUGAAGGUGCCUGACUUUCGGAUCUGGAGUGAGGCUUCGGCCGCCGAACCUGCCGCCGAACCUGCAUGACUUUCGUCUCUGGAAGGGACAUUCGGCCGCCGAAGGUGCCGCUAAAAGUGCCCUGUCCAGCCCUUUCAUGGUUAUUUUCUAUGCAUGUUUAAGUGUUGUUUUGAGGUUGUUUUAGGGGGGUUUUUGGGGAGUUGUUUAUGAGUUGUUUAGAGUGUGUUGGCACCUCAUUCGAGUCCACCUGUGUAGGAUCAGACUCGAGGGACCGAGGAGGCCAUCAGUGUUAGCAGUUGCAGAGUCAGUCCAGCGUCUGCCAGAUGUGAGUAGAACUAAACUUAAUCUUUUAUUUUACGAAAUCAAAUGCCUAAAGCAUGUUCAUGCAUCAUGUUUAUAUGUAAUAGGUUGAUUGCACUAGUUACACGAAUAUGACGCAUUGCAUUAUUUUCUGUUGAUGUGGAUGGACCAAGGCGACCCCAAUAGCCCUAGAUAUGUUAUGUUAAUGAAGUCCUGAGGAGCUCCACCGAGGGCCGGGCAUAAUGAAGUCCUGAGGAGCUCGAAGGGCCGGGCAUAAUGAAGUCCUGAGGAGCCCGAAAGGCUGGGCAUAAUGAAGUCCUGAGGAGCCCGAAGGGCCGGGCACCAUGAUAUGUUACAGACAGAGGGAGUUUUGGUGGUCAUGUCCAUCCGUUAUGUGAAAUGUUUGUGCUGUGACGCAUUUCAUAAGAGCAUGUAAUUAAUGAACUGUUUUUCUGUUUCUACUCACUGGGCUUUUUAGCUCACCCCUCUACCCUAACCCCAGUGUUGCAGGUAUGAGGUCCAUCGGGAAGUCUCAAGAGUUAAGGUUGUGUUAAUGUAAUAGAUUAGUGCUUUUAGUGUGGACAUGUAUUGUAAAUUGAUAUAAUGGAUUGUAAGAUAAUGAAAUGUAAUGUAAUGCAAGUAAAGUAGAGUUAUGUUUAUGGAUUAGUGUUGUGCUUGGCCUUAAGACUUGGUUAGUCCCUGUUUAGUACAUGAUGUAUGUUAUGGUUUAAUAUUGAGUUGUGUUUGAACUAAACUUAUGGCAUGUGUUGUUUAUCACGCUAGAGUUGUUGAUGAGGACCCUAGUAGAGGUCCUAUGUUUGUGGUCUGAUGCAUGCACAGGUUAAGUUCUAGUUCUUGAGAUGUGACUCCGGCUUGAUGUAUGUUAUGUUGACCCAGCUAGAGUUUGAUAAGGGCUCUAGUAGGGGGGUUCUUUAUGUUUUCAGUUAUGUCACAUGCAGGUCAAGCUCGGUGUUUGCAUCAGAUGUUUAAUAUUUUUUUAUGUUAAAGUUUUGAUCAUGUAUGGGACUUGACCAGGUGAUAGGAGGUAUGUUUGGCUUGCUACGGGUCCCGGCGGCCUUAAGCCGAUCUGGAUCCUAGCGCCGGUAGCGGUUCGGGCCGUUACAGAGGGGUAUCGGUUUCCGGGUCGUUACAUAACCAUUUCAUGCAUUAUUAACCCUUAACUCCUUCUUAACACUUAUUUAAAACAUAGUAAAAACAAAGAUCUAGACUUAACUUUUAGAGAUCUAAGGGUGACAGCAACCCCAACUUGGAGAUGAGGUAAAACGGUCUCCGGAGGUCUCCAAGGUUUAAAAACUUGGAUUCAAGCUCAAAUCUUCAAAAACAAGAGAAAACUCAUGAAAUUUCUAAAAGAUUUGAAGGAAAAACAAUAGGAGCAUCAAAGAGAGGGCAAUGACUCACCUCUGCUCGAAAAUGGAGAGAAAACUCUCUCAUUUUUGGGCUAAAGGCCUCUUAUAGGUGGCUGGAUAAAUCACAUUUGGGGGGCCGAAAGAGGAAGUCCCGCUGCGACACCACCACUCAGUAACGACUCGGGAACCGGACCGCUAUCGGCGUUAGGAUUCAAAUCGACUUAAGGUCACUGAAAUCCAUAGCAAACCUACUAUACAUCCUGUGUACCUGAUAAAAUCCCAUACAUGAUCACAUAAGACAACAUAAACAUAACAUUCCAUGAACUAAGACUCGACCUGUGCAUGCAUCAAAACUGAAAACAUAAACCCAUAUUAGAGCCCUCAUCAAAUGCUCCAGUAUGAUAAACAUUACAUGCCUCAAGCUUAGUUUAAACAUAAACUUAUAAUUAAAACUUUUACAUAAGGAUCAUGUUAACAGGGAUUACAAAGAUAAAAACGAGGGCCAAGCACAAUUCUAAUCCAUUAAGAUUUACAUGUCCACACUAUACUAUUACAUUAGCUAUACCAGCAACUACGCUGACUUCCUCGAGCUAUCUUUGAUCCUGCAAACCUGGAGUUAGGGGAAAGGGACAAGCUGCAAGAGCCUAGUGAGCAGAACAUAAAAAAUAGUUUAAUAAACAUAUGCUCGUAUGAAAUGCGUCACAACACAAACAAUUCACAUCUUAUCAUACUAGAGCAUUCGAUAAGGGCUCUAGUAUGGGUUUUAUGUUUACAGUUUUGAUACAUGCACAGUUCGAGCCAUGGUUUAUGGAAUGUUUAUAUUUUUAUUAUAUCUUGUGAUCAUGUAUGGGAUUUUAUCAGGUAUAACAGGAUGUACAGUAGGCUUGCUACGAGUUUCGCGACCUUAAGUCAAUCUGAAUCCUAGCACCGGUGGCGGUCCGAUUUUCGGGUCGUUACAAUUACCAUUAGAAAGGAGAAUAAUAAAUGCUGCUAGUGGAGGUGCCAUUUCAAAAUGGAACCUGAAGAGGGUAAAACUUUAAUCUAAAAAAUAGCUGCCACCUCUAGAUAGUAUGGCUGAGAUCUGGACAUUCCUAGGAAUGCAAAUGAGGUAAGUAUAGCAUCUUUAAAUUCUAAAAUUUGACAACUUAUCACUUCAAUUUAAUAAUUGAUUGUAGGAAAUAAUGUACGGACUUGUGGCAUUUGCAACAAAGCCGACCACCCCACAGACAUGUGUCUUACCAUUCAUGAAAGUGAGCAAUAUAUUACCAAACAUAUCCAGUGUUGAACACACCCCUGGAAUUGCAAACAUGUAUGAUUCAUAUAUUACCAAAAUUCCAAGGAUUGGAGAAUUAAGGCCCAUAUCACCAUCUGAAAGAAUUUUAUGUGGUUUGUUCAAAUAUGAGAACACAGGGGAUAACUAACGAACAAAUCAGUUUAGUAGCUUUUCCUUUUACUUUAAUUGAAUCUACUAAGAAUUGGCUCUACUAUUUUUCCCCAAGAUCAAUCACCACUUAGACGCAGAUUAAAGAAUUGUUUCUAGAAAGAUUUUUUCCAGCAACUAAAGCUUCAUCUAUAAGAAAGGAAAUAAGUGGAAUCAAACAAAGGAAAAAUGAAACACUCCAUGAAUAUUGGAAACGUUACAAGAAAUUAAUUGCAAGCUAUCCAAAACAUGGAAUCACUCCAAAACAACUCAACUUGCACUUCUAUGAAGGAAUGUUACCAUUAGAAAGGAGAAUAAUAGAUACUGCUAGUCGAGGUGCCAUUUCAAAAAUGGAACUUGAAGAGGAUAAAACUUUAAUCUAAAAAAUGGCUGCCAACUCUAGAAAGUAUGGCCGAGAUGUGGACAUUCCUAUGAAUGCGAACGAGGUAAGUAUAGCAUCUUAAGAUUCUAAAAUUUCACAACUUAUCACUUUAAUUCAAUACUUGGCUGUAGGAAAUAAUGUACGGACUUGUGGCAUUUGCAACAAAGCCGACCACCCCACAAACAUGUGUCCUACCCUUCAUGAAAGUGAGCAAUAGGUAAACGCAAUUGGAGGGUUUAAUGGACAGCAAAGGAAGUAUGACCCAUUUUCAAAUACAUACAAUCCAGGAUGGAGAGAUCAUCCAAAUUUUAGCUAUGGGAAUAGACAACAAAAUUUUCAGCCAAGAGAAAAUUAUCAAGUUGCAAAAUCAGGUAUGUCUCUAAAAGACAUUGUACAAUCUCUUGCUAAUAGCACUCUUACUUUUCAACAGAAAAUGAAGCCGAGCAUUCAUAAUUUGGAGAAUUAAGUGAGCCAACUUGCUAUAUCAGUGAGCAAGUUGGAAUCUCAAGGGAAACUGCUCUCCCAAACUGUGCUAAACCCAAAAUCGAACGCAAUUGCAAUUACAUUGCAAAGUGGGAAAGAAUUGAAAACUGCCAGCUCGAAGGGGCUUGCCCAAAGCAGUGCAAUGGACCUGAUGCCAGAAGCAGAAUUGAAUUCCAGUAGAGAAUCAGCCCCAGAAAUUAGAGGUAGAACAAUUCCUAAUUCAGGUAAUCUAUCCUGCUUUUCCUGGAAGAUUUGCUAAAUCUAAAAGGAAAAGGGAAGAAAAAGAGAUCUUGGAGAUUUUUCGCAAAGUCCAUGUGAACAUACCCCUUCUUGAAAUCAUAAAGUAAAUACCCAGGUAUGUGAAAUUUCUAAAAGAUCUUUGUACUAAUAAAAGAAAAUUAUAUGGCCAGGAAAAGAUUAAAGUAGGUGAGAAUGUGUCAGUUCCACUUCAAAGAAAAUUUUCACAAAAAUGUAAAGAUAAAGGCAUGUUUGAAAUAUCAUGUAAAGUUGAAAACUUUAAAGUUAAGAAGGCAAUGUGUGAUUUAGGAACUUCUAUAAAUGUUACGUCUUUGUCUAUUUAUUUGUCUUUGGAUGCAGGUCCUCUGAAACAAACAGGAGUCACACUCCAACUCGCUGAUAGAUCAAUAGUCUACUCUAAGGGCGUGUUGGAGGAUGUCUAGGUUCAAGUGGAAAAAUUAAUUUUUUCAGCAGACUUUUUCGUCUUGGAUAUGGAAGAUGACAAUUUAUUUAAUUCUACCGAUUUGUUGCUAGGGCAACCAUUCCUCAAGACUGCUAGAACGAAAAUUGACGUGCAUGAAGACACGCUCACAAUGGAGUUUGAUGGAGAGGAGGUAAAUUUUAAUGUCUAUGAUGCAAUGAAGUAUCCUAAUGAUAAUUUUUCUCUUUGCAUCAUAUAUGUUGUUGAUCUUCUCGCUCAAGAAGUAUUCAAAUUAAGCAAGGAAGACAAGUUGGAGGUAAUUCUAAUUGAAAACUUGACAAUGGACUGCCUUAACAAUAGCACAUCACAUUUGAUGAGAAAAUCAUGGAAACAGUAUGCUCAUUGGACACUUUGAGCCACAAGGCAUUGAAACUCGAUUUAGAAACACUUUCAGCUCAUUUGAAAUGUGUUUUUGGAAAGUAAUAACACACUUCCGGUCAUAAUCUCCUCCAAGUUGAAUCCUUUAGAAGCAAAGAAGUUGAUUUGAGUGCUGAAUGAAUACAAAGAUGGAAGUGGAUAAAGCCUAACAUGCCAUUAAAGUCUAACAUGCCAUUAAAGUCUAGUGUAGGACAAUAAACAAAGCCGUUGCUUAGGAGGCAAUCCAAGGUGACAGGCUUGCCCAAGUCUGUCUGACAACUAGGAGUUUUUUCUUUUAAUUUUUCUUUUUUAUUUUAUUUUUUUGGUUGCUUCAAUAUCUUAGAGCAGAUUAUAUCUUCUGGAUAAGUCUGAAAUUUAUAGAGAUCAUAUAUGGCCUUCAAUGGUUAUUUGAAUGGUAAAAUAUUUGAGUAAGUUUUAUAACUAUUCUAAAAAGAGGUAAUUGUAAUACCCGGCUGGACUCCGGUAUCGGGAUUCCUACCGUCCGGUGGAAUCUUAGAUGUCGGAGGCCUCUAGAAGGGUAAGAACCAUGUUUUUAUAAAAUAUUUUAAUGUGUUUUAUGUUUUAAGCAUGAAAGAAAAUGAGUUUUUGCAUGAAAAUAGCAUUGGAGGAAAACUCAGGUUCGGCCGCCGAACAUGCAUGCACUUCGGGAGUGCUUUAGGCCCCCGAAGGCAUAAGUGAGGGAAGUCCAGGUUCGGCCGCCGAACCUCAAGUUCGGCCGCCAAACAUGGCAUGCAUGCGGAGGCACAUUCGGCCCCCGAACGUGGCCUGGCCAGCCACUAAAAAAGGGUCCCUUAGCCGAAAACGGGCGAGCUUUUCUCCCCGUUGUCGGCCAAGAUGAGUUCUCCGCCGUCCCUCACCAAUCUUUGAUGUUCUUCCUCUAGAUCUUUCAAGAUUUUCAUUUGUUUUAACUUUGUUUUGAAGAUUUGAGCUUUUGAGCAAGUUUUGGAGCUUGGAGGUUCAAGAACUUAAUCUCUCCCACCUCCGAGUUUUAGGUCGUCUCUCUCUCGAUCUUCAAGAGGUAAGAGCCGAUCUUAAGCUCAUUGCAUGUUUUAAGUAAGUUUUAAAUAGAUCUAUGGGGGUAGAAUGCAUGUCUAGGUUAUGGUUAUGGUUAUGGGUUUAAUGUGUGUUCUUGAACAAUGUGGAUGCUUAAUGUGUUGUAAAUGGGGUUUAUGAUGAUUCGAGGCCCCUAGGAACUUGUAUGCUUGUGUUUGUGUGUUGUAGAAUAGGUUUGUUGCAUGUUUGGAAGGUUUGGAGGCGAAAUGUGCAAAAGGAGCCAAGUUUCUGCCCUUUGGCAGAAACCAGGUUCGGCAGCCGAAGGACUUUCGGCCGCCGAACAUGGCUGGGGAGGCAAGCCUUUCGGCUGCCGAAGCCUGCCCCCGAAAGGAGACUUUCGUCUCUGUCUGGCAGUUUCGGCCGCCGAAAGUGCCGCCGAACAUGCAUGAGUUUCGUCUCUGUCUGGGAGUUUCGGCCGCCGAAGGUGCCGCCGAACCUGCCUGACUUUCGGCUCUGGAGGGACUUUCAGCCGCCGAACCUGCCGCUGAAAGUGCCCUGUCCAGGCCUCAUUUGCAUGUUUUUCUAUGGUUGUUUCAUGAUGUUUUAGGGGGUUUUUGGGGAGUAGUUUAUAGUUAUGUUCUAGUAUGUUUGGUCCCUCAUUUGAGUCCACCUGUGUAGGUUCGGACCCGAGGAACCGAGGACCCCAGCAGUGAGUUCAGCUGCUUCGGUGUUGUCAGAGUCAGCCAGAGGUGAGUGGAACUAAACUUAAAUCUUUUAAAUUGAGAAAUUAAAUGUUUUAUCAUGUUUCAUGCAUCAUGAUUAUGCAAUAGGAUGAUUGCAUUAGUUUCACGAAUAUGCCGCAUUGCAUCGAUUGUUGUUGAUGUGGGUGAAUAUUGGAUGACCCAAUUAGUCCAUGACAGGAAGACCAGGACCCCAUUCUACGGCCUGGCACAGAGUAAGGAAAGACCAGGACCCCAUUCUACGGCCUGGGACGGUUAUAGGACUCGAAGACCAGGAGCCCAGAGGAGGCCCUGGGACAAUGGUAAGUAAUGUAUGUUAUGACAGGAAGACCAGGACCCCAUGCUACGGCCUGACACAGAGUUAGCUUGGACUAAUUGGUGACAAGUUCACCCAGCCCUUAUGUGAAUUGUCUGUGUUAUGAUGCAUUUCAUUGAAGCAUAGUGUUAAUAUGUUUUAUGGUUCUACUCACUGGGCUUUUAGCUCACCCCUCUCCCUUUACCCCAGGCUUGCAGGUACAGGAUAGAAGAGGAGGUCGGUUAGAGUAAAGCUUGUUUUUGUAAUAGAUAGAAUGUGGACAUGACAAAUCAUAGAACGAUGUAAUGUAAAAGUACAGUAUAGUUAUGUAAUGAUGUUUAUGGAUAUUAGAGGUGUGCUUGACCAUAGAAUGUUGUUAUCCCUUUUAAUACAUGAUCUUGGAUUUUUAUGUCGUUUAUGCAAACCAACUCAACACAGGUUAUGUUACCCAUUUGGGGACACUGAUGAGAUCCCACAGAGGGAUCAAUGUUUAUGAUUUAUGUUAUAUACAGUGCAUGCACAGGUUGAGUUUGGUGUAUGAAUGGAAAGGAAAGUUUUAAUUUUUAUGUAUGUUGCUGAUCAUGUAUGGGAUUAUACAGGUUUACAGGUUAAAUGUCAGGCUUGCUAUGGGUCCUGGCGGCCUUAACCCGAUCUGGAUCCUAGCGCCGGUAGCGGUCCGAUUUUCGGGUCGUUAUAGAAUGGUAUCAGAGCCCUAGGUUCAUAUGGUCGGACCAAGAGUGUCGGGCUCAUAGAGGUUAUAAAAGGUCAAGCACAAUAGGAAAGAUCAUGUCCACUAGGAUAGGAUGUGGAGUCCUGUCUUGUAUGAUGAUGUGAAAUGCCAUGAUAAUAUGCAUGUGCAUUACCGAUAUGCUAUGAUAUGUGAUGUAUGUAAUGUGGGUUCAUGUGUUCCCACAUGAACCAUGUGGUGCUAAUGUUUGUUUGUUAUGUGCGGUUUUUCAGAAAACAGGAUGAGAGGAACUCGUCGAUCUGCACGAUUGACUGGAGUGCCACCUGAGGAUGAGGGCAUGAGCGCCCGUCCUCCUACAUUGCCUAGGGCAAUGUCUAGUAGGGCUAGCAGAGAAAGAGCAGUAAGAGACCCUAGAAGGUCUCUGGAUUUGGGUAGGAGCAGAUCAGUGAGGGGAACAGUUCAGGGAGGAAUGUCAGAGGACAUGGGGGAUGAUAUGGAUGUAGAGUAGAGGAGGGAUAGCAGUCUGGGAGUUAGCAUGUCAGAAGAGGGAAUGGGAGAGUCCCUAGGAGGCACUCAGACCUCAGGAUUUGUUCAGCCACCCCACUACCCACACUUCUCACAACAUCUCGGGUAUUCGAUGGGAGGUACAUCGGAUUACCCUAGUUUCACCCCUUAUCCCACACAGAUGCCAUACCCACCAUACUACCCACCAUAUUCACAAUACCCAAUGUAUCCACCCCCACCUUACUAUCCAAAUCCAGCAAACCCUACCUCAGAAAAUGUUGCACCAUCUCCACCACCUACAGAACCAGCAGCCCCAGUUACUCAACCUUCUAAACCUAGCUCGGCCAGUGGGAGCAAGGUCAAGAUGACUGACUACAUGAAACUGGGUGCUCCUCAGUAUGAAAAAGGGGAUGACCCAUUUGUGUAUCUUGAAAGGGUUAAGGUGAUUACAGAUGAGAUUGGGGCUGAUGACAGUAGAGCCAUUCAGAUGGCCGGGUUCACGCUUAAGUGUAAGAAGGCACGAGAGUGGUUCAAGAAUUAUGUGAACCCGAGAGUGGACAACAUGUNNNNNNNNNNNNNNNNNNNNNNNNNNNNNNNNNNNNNNNNNNNNNNNNNNNNNNNNNNNNNNNNNNNNNNNNNNNNNNNNNNNNNNNNNNNNNNNNNNNNNNNNNNNNNNNNNNNNNNNNNNNNNNNNNNNNNNNNNNNNNNNNNNNNNNNNNNNNNNNNNNNNNNNNNNNNNNNNNNNNNNNNNNNNNNNNNNNNNNNNNNNNNNNNNNNNNNNNNNNNNNNNNNNNNNNNNNNNNNNNNNNNNNNNNNNNNNNNNNNNNNNNNNNNNNNNNNNNNNNNNNNNNNNNNNNNNNNNNNNNNNNNNNNNNNNNNNNNNNNNNNNNNNNNNNNNNNNNNNNNNNNNNNNNNNNNNNNNNNNNNNNNNNNNNNNNNNNNNNNNNNNNNNNNNNNNNNNNNNNNNNNNNNNNNNNNNNNNNNNNNNNNNNNNNNNNNNNNNNNNNNNNNNNNNNNNNNNNNNNNNNNNNNNNNNNNNNNNNNNNNNNNNNNNNNNNNNNNNNNNNNNNNNNNNNNNNNNNNNNNNNNNNNNNNNNUUGAGCUUUUGAGCAAGUUUUGGAGCUUGGAGGUUCAAGAACCCAAUCUCUCCCACCUCCGAGUUUUAGGUCGUCUCUCUCUCGAUCUUCAAGAGGUAAGAGCCGAUCUUAAGCUCAUUGCAUGUUUUAAGUAAGUUUUAAGUAGAUCUAUGGGGGUAGAAUGCAUGUCUAGGUUAUGGUUAUGGUUAUGGGUUUAAUGUGUGUUCUUGAACAAUGUGGAUGCUUGAUGUGUUGUAGAUGGGGUUUAUGAUGAUUCGAGGCCCCUAGGAACUUGUAUGCUUGUGUUUGUGUGUUGUAGAAUAGGUUUGUUGCAUGUUUAGAAGGUUUGGAGGCGAAAUGUGCAAAAGGAGCCAAGUUUCUGCCCUUUGGCAGAAACCAGGUUCGGCAGUCGAAGGACUUUCGGCCGCCGAACAUGGCUGGGGAGGCAAGCCUUUCGGCUGCCGAAGCCUGCCCCCGAAAGGAGACUUUCGUCUCUGUCUGGCAGUUUCGGCCGCCGAAAGUGCUGCCGAACAUGCAUGAGUUUCGUCUCUGUCUGGGAGUUUCGGCCGCCGAAGGUGCCGCCGAACCUGCCUGACUUUCGGCUCUGGAGGGACUUUCGGCCGCCGAACCUGCCGCCGAAAGUGCCCUGUCCAGGCCUCCUUUGCAUGUUUUUCUAUGGUUGUUUCAUG